rnacentral:rRNA from 1 species
UGCGGGAUGAUCCCGCCGGAAGUGACUGGAAAAAAGGGUGGAUUAAUCCAGGCGAGUCGAGAGGGUUGUGCCAUCGGCGUACUGCUCAGUAACACGUGGAUAACCUGCCCUAGGGAAGGGGAUAACCCCGGGAAACUGGGGAUAAUACCCUAUAGGUUACAGAUGCUGGAAUGCUCUGUAACCCAAAGUUCCGGCGCCCUAGGAUGGAUCUGCGGCCGAUUAGGUUGUUGUUGGGGUAAUGGCCCAACAAGCCAGUAAUCGGUACGGGUUGUGGGAGCAAGAGCCCGGAGUUGGAUUCUGAGACACGAAUCCAGGCCCUACGGGGCGCAGCAGGCGCGAAAACUUUACAAUGCGGGCAACCGUGAUAAGGGAACCUCGAGUGCCUGUAAAUGCAGGCUGUUUAGGUGUUUAAAACGCACCUGGAGAAAGGGCCGGGCAAGACCGGUGCCAGCCGCCGCGGUAAUACCGGCGGCUCGAGUGGUGGCCACUUUUAUUGGGCUUAAAGCGUUCGUAGCUGGGUUGUUAAGUCUCUUGGGAAAUCUGGCGGCUUAGCCGUCAGGCGUCUAAGGGAUACUGGCAAUCUUGGAACCGGGAGAGGUGAGGGGUACUUCGGGGGUAGGAGUGAAAUCCUGUAAUCCUCGAGGGACCACCUGUGGCGAAGGCGCCUCACCAGAACGGCUUCGACAGUGAGGGACGAAAGCUGGGGGAGCAAACCGGAUUAGAUACCCGGGUAGUCCCAGCCGUAAACUAUGCGCGUUAGGUGUAUCGGUGACCACGAGUUACCGAGGUGCCGAAGGGAAACCGUGAAACGUGCCGCCUGGGAAGUACGGUCGCAAGGCUGAAACUUAAAGGAAUCAGGGGGGGACCAGCCCAGCGGGUGGAACCUGCCGGCCAAUGGGAAGU